rnacentral:lncRNA from 1 species
AUAAUUCAAAUAAAAAGUAUAUUUGCCUAAAAAUAGUAAUACAUUUAACAUAAAAAAUACAAUAAAAUAAAACAAAUAAAAAAGGAAGUCCCACUCUGUCUUUCGAUGCUUUGUUGCGCGUGUGAAAUGUGACGUGUGCAGAACCAUGUUGAAUACUCAAUCAAAAAAGACCAGCCCCUAGUUUCCUUAAUUGUACCAGCUUUGCUUGAUGUGGUUGCCAAAACCAGGGUAAAAUCCAGAACUUAAUUUAUAUGAUAAACACAACCCUUCCCCUUAAUUGUAUUUGUUUGAUCUGGUUGCCAAACCAGGGUAAAAUAUAAAACUUAAUUUAUAUGAUGAACACAAUCCUUCCUCUUAAUUGUAUCAGUUUGCUUGUAGUUGCCAAACCAGUGUAAAAUAAAGAAAUUAAUUUAUACGAUGAACACAACCCUUCCUCGUUUUAGCCUAUAUAUUGGAAGAAAAAAAAUCAAAAGAGGAGGAGAGAUAAGAAAAACAAUCACCACAAGAUAAAAAUUGGGAGAUUUUUCAUUUUUUGCUUUUUCUGUUUCUAAAAAACAAUAGAAGGAGAUAGUGUUACCACAAAGAAAAGAAAGGAAGAUCUACCAUCAGAUUGCUUCCCAUCAACCAUAGCCUUCAAGCCAAUUCUAACAACAACACGAAAAAGGUAUUUUCCCAUUCUUUGCUCUCUUGUUCAAUAUCUCAGAAUAAUUUAAUAUAUGAGAACAAUUUCUGUUUGUGAAUAAUUUCUGAUGUAUGGAAUAUGUUUGUUGCUACGCUGAAACUUUGUUUUGCUAAGCUCUUUUUGAAAUUUGCUUGUUG